GACGAACGCUGGCGGCGUGCUUAACACAUGCAAGUCGAACGGAAAGGCCCUGCUUUUGUGGGGUGCUCGAGUGGCGAACGGGUGAGUAAUACGUGAGUAACCUGCCCUUGACUUUGGGAUAACUUCAGGAAACUGGGGCUAAUACCGGAUAGGAGCUCCUGCUGCAUGGUGGGGGUUGGAAAGUUUCGGCGGUUGGGGAUGGACUCGCGGCUUAUCAGCUUGUUGGUGGGGUAGUGGCUUACCAAGGCUUUGACGGGUAGCCGGCCUGAGAGGGUGACCGGCCACAUUGGGACUGAGAUACGGCCCAGACUCCUACGGGAGGCAGCAGGGGGGAAUAGUGCACAAGGGGCGGAAGCCUGAUGCAGCAACGCCGCGUGCGGGAUGACGGCCUUCGGGUUGUAAACCGCUUUCGCCUGUGACGAAGCGUGAGUGACGGGAAUGGGUAAAGAAGCACCGGCUAACUACG
rnacentral:rRNA from 1 species